rnacentral:ncRNA from 1 species
AUUUUGUUGGAUUUCUGAUCUGAGAUAAUGGUUAAGAGGGACGGACGGGGGCAUUCGUAUCGCUGCGUGAAAAAUUGAAAUUCUUGUACCGUAGCGAGACGUCCGACUGUGAAAACAUUGGCCAUGAAUGUCUUCAUUAAUCAAGAACGAAAGUCAGAGGUUCUAAGGCGAUCAGAUACCGCUCUAUUUGGAGAAAGUUUCCGUUCCUUGAAUUUAAUUUAAAGAUCAAUC